GGAGAUGCGCUGAGGGAUGGAGGUGUAUGUCACCGCAGAGGCUGCUGUGUUCCUGCCCCACGCCCCAGGCCCUUGAAGCCACCCGCGGUCAACAGCGCAGAGAGGCCCAAGGGAUGAGGACACCACAGAGCGUUGUGAAGCCCUCGCUGCAGGAGCCGGGCCGAGCCUGACGUCUGUCCUCUCCACGUGCGCACCGGCUUCCGAGGGAGCGGCCGGCCAGUGGCUGCCGCAUGGAACGUCUGCAGAAGCAACCUCUUACCUCCCCGGGGAGCGUCAGCUCCUCCAGAGACUCCAGUGUACCCGGCUCUCCCUCCAACA
rnacentral:lncRNA from 1 species